rnacentral:rRNA from 1 species
CCCUUAGAUGUUCUGGGCCGCACGCGCGCUACACUGAUGCAUUCAACGAGUCUAAAACCUGCUCUGAUAGGGGUGGGUAAUCUUUUGAAUGUGCAUCGUGAUUGGGAUAGAUGAUUGCAAUUUUUCAUCUUCAACGAGGAAUGCCUAGUAAACGCAAGUCAUCAGCUUGCAUUGAUUACGUCCCUGCCCUUUGUACACACCGCCCGUCGCUCCUACCGAUUGAAUGAUCCGAUGAAUAUCAUGGAUUGAGGAUUAUAGCAGGUUCGCCUGUCUUGAUCUUCGAGAAGUGAAGUAAAUCUUAUCAUUUAGAGGAAGGAGAAGUCGUAAC